GGCAAGAUGCAGUAGAUGGUAUAAGAUACAGUAUAUACAUAUGAGAUGAGUAAUGUAAGAUAUGUAAACAUUAUUAAACACAAGGAGUGAAGUGUUACAAUCUACCACAUGGUUUGGGUUAGUUGUAACAGUGCUUGGUGUGAAUUGUAACAUUGAAAAAGUGCAUAAAUCAUGACAUAAUUUAUUGAGGCCAUGAGAGCAACAUUGCCAUGUUUAACAUUUUGUUUGUCAGAAAUAAUCAUAAAUAUAAAUAAUAAAAGGUUUAUUAUUUACCCUCCACUAAAUGGUCUUUCUCAACCAAACAAACAACAAGGCUAAACUAAACACCUGAACGUUUCUGGUGUGUGUGUGUGUGUGUGUGUGUGUGUGUGUGUGUGUGUGUGUGUGUGUGUGUGUGUGUGUGUGUGUGUGUGUGUGUGUGUGUGUGUGUGUGUGUGUGUGUGUGUGUGUGUGUGUUUGUGUGUGACUGAAUGUUGGACAUGUUCACUUAAUCAGUUGUGACAGUGGUACAGGCUUGGUGGGACCAUCAUUUUCAUUCCCAGCACUGCAACCAGACCUCAUUGGACUUGGAAUUGUUAAAGUGCUCCAUGCACACAAUGCAGAAGUUUUCCUCGUUGGAGGAAUCUGAAUCUUCUGGUUCAAUCUGCUUUGUUUUGUCUUUUUUCUUAAGCAGGAUAAUUUUUUGUUGUUGUUCAGUGUGGUUUGUUUUGGCUUGCUUCUUUCCAGCUAUUUUUUUAGGCAGGGCAAAUUUUGCCUUUUGAGUGCUUGAAUGGGUGUACAUCAACUGGGUUGAAAUCAGAAGAGUAAUCAGGCGUUUCCAGCUGGCCUGGAAGGCAGCCGGAGAGGUGGCCUGGAGGGCAGCCGGAGAGGUGGCCUGGAGGGCAGCCGGAGAGGUGGCCUGGAGGGCAGCCGGAGAGGUGGCCUGGAGGGCAGCCGGAGAGGUGGCCUGGAGGGCAGCCGGAGAGGUGGCCUGGAGGGCAGCAGGAGAGGUGGCCUGGAGGGCAGCCGGAGAGGUGGCCUGGAAGGCAGCCGGAGAGGUGGCCUGGAAGGCAGCCGGAGAGGUGGCCUGGAAGGCAGCCGGAGAGGUGGCCUGGGAGGAAGCUGGAGAGGUGGCCUGGAAGGCAGCUGGAGAUGUGGCCUGGGAGGCAGCUGGAGAGGUGGCCUGGAUAGCAGUGGGCACAGUGGGCAUAAAUCAGCUGCCCUCAAGAGAUACACUGACAACUUCUGCUCCUGCUCAUCAAUGAAGACCCCGUUUCCACUACGGUAGCCUACAAGCUCUCUCGACCCCUUCUCCAGUAGCUUCUUUCUCUGCAGAAUCUGCACAGCAUCACAUGAUAUAUGCCAUACAACUUUGCAACCGAUCUGAUUGAUUUCCCCUGCUCUGUUACAUAAUUUGACGCUCUUUUCAAAGUGUGGAGAGGUACUCCCCUGUCUGUUUUUCUUUUCCAUGAUCUAGGCAUGCUGAAAGUAAAAGAAAACAUUUACCAAAACAUCCAGUUUUAGUCGGGGUUAGUUGUAACAUUUUCUCACAAGUUGUUACAACUUUAGCAUUGCUAACUUUCAUCAAAUAUCUCUACACAGACUGGUUAUAAACCUGAUAUAACUUUGCUGAAUGAAACUACAAAGCACUUUAUGCCAUCACAAAAACAAAUUUGGUCAAAAUAAUUACUUUCUUACCUCAACAUUUCUGUCAAUAGCAUUUGCAGAGUUUAUCACAGGGACUUGCUUUUUCACGAGGGUUCAGGACUAAACUGAGCAUGUGCACAGAGAAUCAUAUGAUUAUACCUCGCUCCUGAUUGGAGGAAUUUUCCCGUGUUACAACCAUCCCCGGUCUCCCCUACCACAUUCAAGUGGUGUGGUAACACAAGACCACAAUGUUGGUGUACUUUGUAAUUGACUGUAUGUUACACAGUAGAGAGAUCUUAAACAUAAGUAUUCACCUCCCUUGGAUUUCUUCACAUUUUAUUGUGUUACAAAGUGGGAUUAAAAUUAAUUGAAUUGUCAUUUUUUGUCAACAAUUUACUCAAAAUAUUCUGUAAUGUCAAAGUGGAAGAAAAAUUUGAUUUUUUGUUAAGAUUAAUGAAAGAUAAAAGACUAAUAUACCUUGAUUAGAUAAGUAUUCACCCACCUAAAUCAAUACAUGUUAGAAACACCUUUUUACAGCCAUAGCCAUAGAUUUUUUAAAGCAGAUUUAAGUCAAAACUAACUUGGCCACUCAGGAACAUUCACUGUCUUUCUGGUAAGCAACUCCAGUGUCUGCAGACUGAAGCAGGUUUUCCUCUAGGAUUUUGCUUGUGCUUAGCUCCAACAUGUUGUGUUUUGCAUUUGCCCCAAACAUAAGGCUUUGCAUUUAGGUCAAAAAGUGUAUUAUUUUGCAGUUAAUGUUUUGUUGUUGCAGUAUUACUUUAGUGCCUUGUUGCAUACAAGAUGCAUGCUUUGUAAUAUUUU
rnacentral:lncRNA from 1 species